CUGACCCCUGACUGUGCAGGAGCUGCACGUUUUGUGAAAAUAUUUCAAUCAUUGUCCAAGGGAGCACAUUGUCACGUGGCAGCUCCAGUGCUGGGAUAAUGGGGACAGCAGCCUGGACAUAGUGGACAACAUGACUUUGGCAGCUGGCAUUCAGGCAGUUUAAGGAAUUUCAGCCUGUUUAACAAAGUGUUGGAUGAGAUCUUUUGAGAAGCUGUCCUUAGCAACUAAGCAGUGG
rnacentral:lncRNA from 1 species